rnacentral:rRNA from 1 species
CGGACUGGAGUCUGCAACCCGACUCCACGAAGCUGGAUUCGCUAGUAAUCGCGCAUCAGCCACGGCGCGGUGAAUACGUUCCCGGGCCUUGUACACACCGCCCGUCAAGCCAUGGGAGCCGGGGGUACCUGAAGUGCGUAACCGCGAGGAUCGCCCUAGGGUAAAACUGGUGACUGGGGCUAAGUCGUAACAAGGUAUC